rnacentral:lncRNA from 1 species
CUUGCUAAUGAAAGACGAAGGUGGGAGCCGGCUGAGAACAGCAUCUCAUCUCACUGUGUCCUUCAGGAAGCCUGUGACUUGAAGUGCAUGCGUUUGCUUUUUAGGUUUUUGAGACGGGCUCUCCCCUUGUAGCAUAGUAGGGUCUGGAACUUGCUGUGUAGUCUGCCCUGGCCUCGAACCUGCAAUCCUUUUGCCUCAUCCUCUGAGCUGUGGUUUUAAAGGAAGACCUGAGCCGCCUGAUCUGGCAGUAUUUGCUUUGUAAAUUGCGUUGUGACUGAGAUUAGACACAAUGAUUGACUGCAAAAUAAUUUUAUGAUGUAGCCCUGGUGCGGAGAAGAAAAAUGGGUUAAUUCGUUCAAAAAAAUUUAACCUGUAAGGAAUGCAGAAGGGC